rnacentral:rRNA from 1 species
AUGGGCCUCCUCAAGAACUCCCUCCUGCUCCAAGGGCAGCUGCGGCAGGCUACGGCUCAGGCGGCGGCCGCCGCCGCCAGCGCGGGAGUGGGGCGGCGCGGCGUGGCGACGUCGACGGAGGAGUACAUGCGCCGCAACUACGCCAACAAUGUCUCCGAGUACAACACCGUCAUCGGGUCCCUCAUCCAGCAGCGCAGGCCCUACCUGCUUCGUGAUGCCUACGAUGACAUGUUACUCGACGGGGUGCAGCCUGUGCGGGACACAUUCCACAAUCUCAUAGUCGGCACCAUGAAGGGCAGCCGGCUACAAGAUGCUUUCUACUUCCGCGACCAGAUGAGAGAAAUGGGCUUGCAGCCUGAUGUUAACCUAUACAAUUUUCUGAUCUCCACUUGCGGGAAAUGCAAGAACUCGGAUGCAGCAAUCUUGCUUCUGGAAGAAAUGAAAGCACAUGGCGUUAAGUUGAAAGGAGAAACCUACAUUUGUCUCUUGAAUGCGCUUGCAGCAACUGGGCGUACGGAUCAAGUUUAUGCUAUAGUUCGUGAUAUGACCGCCGCUGGACUUGGAUUAAACAAGUUUUGUUAUGCUGGACUAAUAACUGCAUUCAAGAACAAGACACCAGCCAGUGAGGAUACUCCGGCAAAAAUUCUUGAGUUCGUCCAGCAGUCAAAAGGUUGGCAGUAUGUUGAAAGGGUAGCAAAUGAUAGUGCUGAGAAUAUAAUGAUGAAUGUGUCAGACGAAGAGCUAUACAACUUGCCAACAGCAGAAUUUGCACACAGAAGAGGAUUUAUAUUUAAGCAGUUAACAAUUUAUCAUGUUGCUAUCCAUGCUUGUGCAGACUUGGGGAGCAAAGAGACACUCGAAGCACUUCUUGACAUGUUCACUAAAGAGAAUUUUAAUUAUGAUGCCUUCAUUGUGAUGCAAGCUGUAAGGUGUUAUCUUCGAUGUGGAGAUAUUGAUUCCGCUGUUAAGAUGUUUGAAGAGUUCUCAAGCUCGAAACCCACACCCGCAGAGCUGUAUGUGACACUUGCCGAGGGAGCUAUGAUAGGGUAUACUCCAAGAGGAAUGGAAGUUGCUCAAGCAACCUUGGAGAGAAUGACUGAAAGAAAAUUCUUCUUGAAUCCCAAGAUGGGGACGGAUCUUCUACUAGCGGCUUCUGGUGAAAAGACUGGUGGAUAUACAACUGCAAAUUAUAUUUGGGAUAUGCUGCAAACCCGCAAUAUAAUUCCAGCACUUCCUGCUGUUGAAGCAUACUACAAGGGAUUGAAGGAACGAGAAAUUCCUUCGGACGAUCCACGGCUUGUGAAUGUUGCCCGUGUUUUGGACAACCUGCAACUCCGGUUGGGCCCGAGGAGAAAUUUUCAGUAA